GGCGCCAUCGUGCGGCAGCUGCUCACGGAUCUCGAAGAGGUCGAGGAGGUCAACAAGCAGCUCGAUCAGAUGGGUUACAAUAUUGGAACUCGGUUGGUUGAUGAAUUCUUAGCCAAGUCAAAUGUAUCAAACUGUGCUGACUUCAAGGAGACUGCUGAUACUAUAGCAAAGCUUGGGUUCAAAAUGUUCCUGGGCGUGACUGCAACUGUAACCAAUUGGGAUGCUGAGGGUACAACUUGCAGCUUUGUAUUGGAGGACAACCCACUUGUAGAUUUUGUUGAGCUUCCUGAUACUUGCCAAGGUCUUCAGUAUUGCAAUGUGUUGAGUGGAGUUAUCAGGGGAGCACUGGAAAUGGUUUCCAUGAAGACGGAGGUUACAUGGGUCCGUGAUAUGCUUCGCGGGGAUGAUGCCUACGAGAUGCGGGUGAAGCUCACCAAGCAAGUCCCAGAGGAAUACCCCUACAAGGAUGAUGACUAG
rnacentral:rRNA from 1 species